rnacentral:rRNA from 1 species
UACGGGGGGAGCAAGCGUUGUUCGGAUUUACUGGGCGUAAAGGGCGCGUAGGCGGCCACCGCAAGUCGAUUGUGAAAUCUCCGGGCUUAACUCGGAAAGGUCAACCGAUACUGCGGGGCUAGAGUGCAGAAGGGGCAACUGGAAUUCUCGGUGUAGCGGUGAAAUGCGUAGAUAUCGAGAGGACCACCUGCGGCGAAGGCGGGUUGCUGGGCUGACACUGACGCUGAUGUGCGAAAGCUAGGGGAGCGAACGGG